rnacentral:lncRNA from 1 species
UCGACCGGCGGAGAAACAAAAGGGGCCUAACCCUAAUUUCAACAAAAGCAUCAAAUUGAAGGUCAAAUCUAGCCCGAAUCAGGUGCAUGAACACGUAUAAACGAUCACCAAGUCAAGAGGAUCGUAAGUUUGACGCUUAACGAGCUACAUGGAGGCUUGGGAAAGAAGCGGGUCAAACGGAUUGAGUACACGGAAAAGUGUAUAACCGGAUGCAAGGUGAAUAUCAGGAGUACCGGAUGAAGAUCAAGCGAUGAGAAAGAACCGAACACAUGAAGAAGAAGCUUUCGCACGUUGUUUUGUUGAAAUUUUUAAACGACAAACUAAACUACAUUAUGUUGUUCUAAACUUUAAAUUGUAAAAGUUUUAAAUAAAUCCGUAUUUU